UCAGUCCCAUCCUUAUCGGCUGGCAAUAAUGCCUCAUCCCUUUGCCUUAUCUCUAUCCCUCCCUUGCUUCCUUCCACCCUUUAACCUCAUUUCCCUCUCCAUUGAAGCCUCAAGAGUGAAGAGCUUUACCGGAGCACUGUAGCGGCGACGAUCAAACCGGGGAGGAGCUCUUCAACUUGUCAACAACCUAGAGGACCACCGUGAGGCAUUUAUUUGGAUCUCAAUUGGGAUUAGACUAUUGUAAAAUCAGGAGCAGUAGGCCCAGGGAUCUUAGAAGGCUUCCAGUAGAUAUCCUCUUUGGAGUCAUGUCUUUGUAUCAGUUGUAUUGUUGUUUAAGAACCUACUUGUAGGUCAUGCUAUAUUUCAUUUGCCUUGUAUUUGAGUUUGGUUGUAAACCUUAAGUUGUACUCUUAUUUGGU